rnacentral:rRNA from 1 species
CACGUAGUUAGCCGUGGCUUUCUGGUUAGGUACCGUCAAGACUUGUUCAGUUACUAACAAAUUUGUUCUUCCCUAACAACAGAGUUUUACGAUCCGAAAACCUUCAUCACUCACGCGGCGUUGCUCCGUCAGGCUUUCGCCCAUUGCGGAAGAUUCCCUACUGCUGCCUCCCGUAGGAGUCUGGACCGUGUCUCAGUUCCAGUGUGGCCGAUCACCCUCUCAGGUCGGCUACGUAUCGUCGCCUUGGUAAGCCAUUACCUUACCAACUAGCUAAUACGGCGCGGGUCCAUCUAUAAGUGACAGCCGAAGCCGCCUUUCACUAUUGAACCAUGCGGUUCAAAAUAUUAUCAGGUAUUAGCCCCGGUUUCCCGGAGUUAUCCCAGUCUUAUAGGUAGGUUACCCACGUGUUACUCACCCGUCCGCCGCUAACAUCAGAGAAGCAAGCUUCUCAUCUGUUCGCUCGACUUGCAUGUAUUAGGCACGCCGCCAGCGUUCAUCCUGAGCCAGGAUCAAACUC